UCCAAAAUAGCUUAGUUGGGAGAGCGUUAGACUGAAGAUCUAAAGGACCCUGGUGGCUCAGAUGGUAAAGAAUCUGCCUUCAGUGUGGGAGAUCUGGGUUCAAUCCCUGGGUCGGGAA
rnacentral:tRNA from 1 species